AUUUAUAUAAUAUAAAAAGUAUAUUUGACUUCCAAUCAAAAAGUUUAAAUUUUAAUAUAAAUA
rnacentral:tRNA from 1 species